UACCAGCACCCCGAGUGGUCGGGACGAUUAUUGGGCCUAAAGCAUCCGUAGCCGGUUCUACAAGUCUUCCGUUAAAUCCACCUGCUUAACAGAUGGGCUGCGGAGGAUACUAUAGAGCUAGGAGGCGGGAGAGGCAAGCGGUACUUAGUGGGUAGGGGUAAAAUCCGUUGAUCCAUUGAAGACCACCAGUGGCGAAGGCGGACUUGCCAGAACGCACUCGACGGUGAGGGAUGGAAAGCUGGGGGAGCAAACCGG
rnacentral:rRNA from 1 species